GCUUAGUGACGGAUCAGAGCUUAACUUGGAUUUCUUGUCACACACACAAUCACAAAAGGUAUUUCCUGCCGCAGGACUUUUGAGAAGGAGCUUGAAAGAGCUUAAAGUCUCCAUCUUUCCUUCUGCUGAACUUCAAAGCUGGAAACAGUCUACAAUGACCAUGAUGACAACCUGUGAUUAAAGAAGUGAGUUUGGAUUGUGGGGUUACCUACAGAGAUUCAGCUGAGUAUUUUGGUGCUUCUUCAGUUUUAUUUUCUCAUGGUAUUGAUUUUUAUUAUCCAUGGUGCCUUUCUCUUGUUCUCUUUCAGU
rnacentral:lncRNA from 1 species